UACGUAGGGUGCGAGCGUUGUCCGGAAUUAUUGGGCGUAAAGAGCUCGUAGGCGGUGUGUCACGUCGGCCGUGAAAACCUGCAGCUUAACUGUGGGCGUGCGGUCGAUACGGGCAUCACUGGAGUUCGGCAGGGGAGACUGGAAUUCCUGGUGUAGCGGUGAAAUGCGCAGAUAUCAGGAGGAACACCGGUGGCGAAGGCGG
rnacentral:rRNA from 1 species